GAUCUGAAAAGAUCCCACAUAACGAGGGCUCAAAUUUUCCUUCUUACCGAAUCACAUUUUUCCCUUGUAAGGGAAGAUCGUAAAGAUGACUUUGUUAAUGAUGGCAAAUUUCAAGGGUCUUCUACAUUUGUCAGUUUAGCUUUUCUAACAACUCUAGGUAGUGUCUAAGUUCCUUCGAAUGAUAGUAACUUUUUCGAUAGUAUUC
rnacentral:lncRNA from 1 species